CUGACAACUAGCAGCAACGGACGCCGCUCCACUACCUGCAGUAGGCCCUACGUGGCGGGCUGGGGCGAUGGCCACGGGUCUACCCCACUAUCUUCCGCAAUCAAUUUCCCUGACCAUGGGCGGCCCACUACCAGGCGGUUACAAACGUCGCCAUCAGUCCGUUGCCUCCCCCGCCUAUAAAAGGGGGACUCAGAUACGUUAUUCUUUAAGCUCUUUUGCCUUAUCUCAAAACUCUGCUAAACUCUCCGUUCGAGCACUCCAUUCUUGUUGAGGCAGAGAACUGACUUGAGCUUCGGAGGGUCUUGCCGGAGCAACCCCACCUCUGGUUUAGACUUCCCUUGCAGGUCCCGGCGGCGACCGCGGCUUCCUCAACUCCAGCUUCUCCGGCGUAGGCGGAUUUUUGCACCAAC
rnacentral:lncRNA from 1 species